rnacentral:rRNA from 1 species
AGCGUUGUUCGGAAUUACUGGGCGUAAAGCGCGUGUAGGCGGGUCUUUAAGUCAGGGGUGAAAUGCCAAGGCUCAACCUUGGAACUGCCUUUGAUACUGGAGAUCUUGAGUCCGGGAGAGGUGAGUGGAACUGCGAGUGUAG